AAGUCGAGCGGAACGAGCUAUCUGAACCUUCGGGGAACGAUAACGGCGUCGAGCGGCGGACGGGUGAGUAAUGCCUAGGAAAUUGCCCUGAUGUGGGGGAUAACCAUUGGAAACGAUGGCUAAUACCGCAUGAUGCCUACGGGCCAAAGAGGGGGACCUUCGGGCCUCUCGCGUCAGGAUAUGCCUAGGUGGGAUUAGCUAGUUGGUGAGGUAAGGGCUCACCAAGGCGACGAUCCCUAGCUGGUCUGAGAGGAUGAUCAGCCACACUGGAACUGAGACACGGUCCAGACUCCUACGGGAGGCAGCAGUGGGGAAUAUUGCACAAUGGGCGCAAGCCUGAUGCAGCCAUGCCGCGUGUGUGAAGAAGGCCUUCGGGUUGUAAAGCACUUUCAGUCGUGAGGAAGGUGGUGUAGUUAAUAGCUGCAUUAUUUGACGUUAGCGACAGAAGAAGCACCGGCUAACUCCGUGCCAGCAGCCGCGGUAAUACGGAGGGUGCGAGCGUUAAUCGGAAUUACUGGGCGU
rnacentral:rRNA from 1 species